CCCGGCUCAGAAUCAACGCUGGCGGCGCGCCUAACACAUGCAAGUCGAACGAGAAAGUGGAGCAAUCCAUGAGUACAGUGGCGUACGGGUGAGUAACACGUGGGUGAUCUACCUCUUAGUGAGGAAUAACCCUGGGAAACCGGGGCUAAUACCGCAUAAGCCUGAGAAGGGAAAGCAGCAAUGCGCUGAGAGAGGAGCCCGCGGCCGAUUAGCUAGUUGGUGAGGUAAGAGCCCACCAAGGCAGAGAUCGGUAGCCGGCCUGAGAGGGCACACGGCCACACUGGCACUGAAACACGGGCCAGACUCCUACGGGAGGCAGCAGUGGGGAAUCUUGCACAAUGGGGGAAACCCUGAUGCAGCGACGCCGCGUGAGCGAUGAAGCCCUUCGGGGUGUAAAGCUCUUUCGUCAGGGAAGAUUAUGACGGUACCUGGAGAAGCAGCUGCGGCUAACUACGUGCCAGCAGCCGCGGUAAUACGUAGGCAGCAAGCGUUGUUCGGAGUUACUGGGCGUAAAGGGUGUGUAGGCGGUUCUUUAAGUUUGGUGUGAAAUCUCCCGGCUCAACCGGGAGGGUGCGCCGAAUACUGAGGGACUAGAGUGUGGGAGAGGAAAGUGGAAUUCCUGGUGUAGCGGUGAAAUGCGUAGAUAUCAGGAGGAACACCGGUGGUGUAGACGGCUUUCUGGACCAUAACUGACGCUGAGACACGAAAGCGUGGGUAGCAAACAGGAUUAGAUACCCUGGUAGUCCACGCCCUAAACGAUGCAUAUUUGGUGUGGGUCAUUCAGUUGAUCCGUGCCGGAGCUAACGCGUUAAAUAUGCCGCCUGGGGAGUACAGUCGCAAGGCUGAAACUCAAAGGAAUUGACGGGGGCCCGCACA
rnacentral:rRNA from 1 species